rnacentral:rRNA from 1 species
UUGACAAUGCUAGGAUGUGAUGGGGAAGCCCUUCGGGGCGAAGUAGCUGAUUUCACACUGUCAAGAAAAGCUUCUAUCGAGUUUAAAGGCGCCCGUACCGUAAACCGACACAGGUGGGUGAGGAGAGUAUCCUAAGGCCAGCGAGAGAACUAUUGUUAAGGAACUCGGCAAAAUGACCCCGUAACUUAGGGAGAAGGGGUGCCUGUCUAUGACAGGCCGCAGAGAAUAGGCCCAAGCGACUGUUUACCAAAAACACAGGUUUCUGCUAAGUCGCAAGACGAUGUAUAGGAGCUGACGCCUGCCCGGUGCUGGAAGGUUAAGGGGAUCUGUUAGAGCAAUCGAAGCAGUGAACUUAAGCCCCAGUAAACGGCGGCCGUAACAAUAACGGUCCUAAGGUAGCGAAAUUCCUUGUCGGGUAAGUUCCGACCCGCACGAAAGGCGUAACGAUUUGGGCACUGUCUCAACAAUAGACUCGGUGAAAUUGUAAUCCCGGUGAAGAUGCCGGGUACCUGCGACAGGACGGAAAGACCCCAUGGAGCUUUACUGUAGCUUGACGUUGGGUCUUGGUACUACAUGUACAGGAUAGGUGGGAGACUAUGAAGCAUGGACGCCAGUCUGUGUGGAGUCAUCCUUGAGAUACCACCCUUGUAGUACUGGGAUCCUAACCAUAGGCCUUGAAUCAGGUCUUGGAACACCGUCAGGUGGGCAGUUUGACUGGGGCGGUCGCCUCCUAAAAAGUAACGGAGGCGCUCAAAGGUUUCCUCAGCACGGUCGGAAAUCGUGCGAAGAGUGUAAAGGUAAAAGGAAGCUUGAUUGCAAGACAUACAGGUCGAGCAAGGACGAAAGUCGGACUUAGUGAUCCGGUGGUACCGCAUGGAAGGGCCAUCGCUCAACGGAUAAAAGCUACCCUGGGGAUAACAGGCUUAUCUCCCCCAAGAGUCCACAUCGACGGGGAGGUUUGGCACCUCGAUGUCGGCUCAUCACAUCCUGGGGCUGUAGUAGGUCCCAAGGGUUGGGCUGUUCGCCCAUUAAAGUGGUACGCGAGCUGGGUUCAGAACGUCGUGAGACAGUUCGGUCCCUAUCCGUCGCAGGCGUAGGAAAUUUGAGAAGACCUGUCCUUAGUACGAGAGGACCGGGAUGGACGUACCUCUGGUGUACCAGUUGUUCUGCCAAGGGCAUGGCUGGGUAGCUAUGUACGGAAUGGAUAAGCGCUGAAAGCAUCUAAGCGCGAAGCCAACUUCAAGAUAAGAUUUCCCACCGUAAGGGUAAGACCCCAGGAAGACUACCUGGUUGAUAGGUCGAAGGUGUAAGUGCAGUAAUGUAUUUAGCUUAUCGAUACUAAUAGGUCGAGGACUUGAUCAA